rnacentral:rRNA from 1 species
GACGAACGCUGGCGGCGUGCCUAAUACAUGCAAGUAGAACGCAGUUGCGAACGGGUGAGUAACGCGUAGGUAACUGCCUGGUAGCGGGGGAUAACUAUUGGAAACGAUAGCUAAUACCGCAUACUACCAGAUGGACCUGCGUUGUAUUAGCUAGUUGGUGAGGUAACGGCUCACCAAGGCAACGAUACAUAGCCGAGCUGAGAGGGUGUUCGGCGAGACUGGGACUGAGACACGGCGCAGACUCCUACAGGAGGCAGCAGUAGGGAAUCGUCGGCGAUGGGGGGAACCCUGAGCGAGCAACGCCGCGUGAGGGAGGAAGGGUUUCGAAUCGUAAAGGUCUGUUGUUAAGGAAGCGGUACGUAACCAGAAAGGGACGGCUAACUACGUGCCAGCCGCCGCGGUAAUUC